rnacentral:rRNA from 1 species
AAUCGGAAUUACUGGGCGUAAAGCGCAUGCAGGUGGUUUGUUAAGUCAGAUGUGAAAGCCCGGGGCUCAACCUCGGAACUGCAUUUGAAACUGGCAAACUAGAGUACUGUAGAGGGGGGUAGAAUUUCAGGUGUAGCGGUGAAAUGCGUAGAGAUCUGAAGGAAUACCAGUGGCGAAGGCGGCCCCCUGGACAGAUACUGACACUCAGAUGCGAAAGCGUGGGGAGCAAACAGGAUUAGAUACCCUGGUAGUCCACGCCGUAAACGAUGUCUACUUGGAGGUUGUGGCCUUGAGCCGUGGCUUUCGGAGCUAACGCGUUAAGUAGACCGCCUGGGGAGUACGGUCGCAAGAUUAAAACUCAAAUGAAUUGACGGGGGCCCGCACAAGCGGUGGAGCAUGUGGUUUAAUUCGAUGCAACGCGAAGAACCUUACCUACUCUUGACAUCCAGAGAACUUAGCAGAGAUGGAUUGGUGCCUUCGGGAACUCUGAGACAGGUGCUGCAUGGCUGUCGUCAGCUCGUGUUGUGAAAUGUUGGGUUAAGUCCCGCAACGAGCGCAACCCUUAUCCUUGUUUGCCAGCGAGUAAUGUCGGGAACUCCAGGGAGACUGCCGGUGAUAAACCGGAGGAAGGUGGGGACGACGUCAAGUCAUCAUGGCCCUUACGAGUAGGGCUACACACGUGCUACAAUGGCGCAUACAGAGGGCAGCCAACUCGCGAGAGUGAGCGAAUCCCAAAAAGUGCGUCGUAGUCCGGAUUGGAGUCUGCAACUCGACUCCAUGAAGUCGGAAUCGCUAGUAAUCGUAGAUCAGAAUGCUACGGUGAAUACGUUCCCGGGCCUUGUACACACCGCCCGUCACACCAUGGGAGUGGGCUGCAAAAGAAGUGGGUAGUUUAACCUUCGGGAGGACGCUC